AUGGAGGGAGAGCCGAUGCGUGUGCAGUUCGAGCAGUGGGCCGUCGACGCCAGGGUCGACCUCGUCUUUGCCGGGCACGUGCACGCGUAUGAGUGCAACCACCGGGUGUCCAACAUCAAGUACGACAUCACAGACGGGAGGUGCAAGCCGGUGCGGGACCACCGCGCGCCCGUGUACAUGACCAUCGGUGACGGAGGCAACAUCGAGGGCCUUGCCGACAGCGUGACAGAGCCACAACCGAGCUACUCGGCCUUCCGAGAAGCCAGCUUUGGGCAUGCCUUGCUGGACAUCAAGAACCGCACACACGCCUACUACGCCUGGUACCGCAACGCCGACGGCGUCAAGGUCCCCGCCAACACCGUGUGGUUCACCAACCGUUACUACAUGCCCAACCAGUUAGGAAUUGCAGCUUGCCGCACCCGGCAGCGGUGCUGCCGAGUACGGUCAUAUCCAAUCCGGUAA
rnacentral:rRNA from 1 species